ensembl:lncRNA
UAUCUCCCCUCCACCACUCUGCCCCUCAGCUCUUCAGCUGAACUAGAACUGCUGUGCGUGUACAUUUGGGUCCACUGACUACACCACCACCAAAAACCCCAGACAAAUGCAGAGUCGUUAAUAGAGAACCAGUGUUGGAGCAUCUCUGGAAGCUGAUGUAUUCAUUCAUCCACAUACUCAUCCAGACUGCUGGCAGCAGUCCUGAAAAUAUCCAAAUCCCUACAGUCCAGACCCGCCUGAAGGGGCACAUCAACAGGAGUCGUUGCAGAUUGGAUGUGUUUCCCAGCAAAAUCUCCAAAACAUGGAAAUUCCAGGAGACAUGCAGUUACUCUGCGAGAGCUGGACAGGACCGUAGAAGAACUGUAGUGUGACUCACUGCCCAGCACGGUGGAGCUUGAUUGGCCUUUGCUUGGCAUGUCCGCCACUGGCGCCCAGUGCUUUUUACAGAUGUGAGCAGGUUCACCCUGAGCAUCUUUCAUAGGGAGAAGCCAAGAACACUAUGGCGCCUGCCUAUUUCCAUCAAAAGAGGUGGCAUUCUUUCGUUCCUCAGACAUUGAACCGUCUAUAUUAGUAUAGGUAUCCAAAAUACUUAUCGAUCUGAUGUGUGUGUGUGUGUGUGUGUGUUCCUAAAUUUGGGUAGCGGCUAAGUUAUGAUAGUGGGUCCUGCAGCCAGACAAGUUGAGAAACACUGCUUUGGAAAAUUAACAUUGGCUGCGAAAAAGCAGUUACCUUUCUUCUCCAUUUUUUUUCUCUCUAUCGUUUUGUUUUAAUGAUCAUUAGGACAAAUGAAUGCAAAUAUCCUAGCGUGGACAUAUUAUGUCGUUUGAGACUCCUUGUCUAAAACCAAUCAACCAUCGGAGAGAGAAAUUGUGGGCUGUCAGUAUGUUUGUGUGUAUUUUUUUAAGUUCUUGUAGGCAUAUUGCUGUGCUGGUUAUGUGUGUCAGUGUGAGAUAGGUGAGUGUGUUUGAAUAAUAACUGUGUUUUUCUCCUGAGGGGCUCCACCAAGCCGGAAAAAAAUAAAAAUAAAAUAUUAAUGUUCAAUCACUGCGUUGGGACCACUGACACACGCGCCCCACACACACCAGACACGCUGGAAAAUCACCAGAACAAUACCAGGCAGACUCUGUAUUGUUGCAGUGUAUUUGCGAGAGCCCCCCUGACGAUACGCCCCUUACUAAGCAGCUGUAAGCAGAUGCUGCUAGCCUGAAUGUAAGAGAAGCAGGCUUGUGAGUGAAUCCAAUUCUACGCUGUCCUUAAGCUAGGCAGUGCGAGUGAUUUACUGGUUAUUAGUCUGAGGUAGUUUUAGAGAUCAUUUUUUGGUCUCUGAAGCACCCGUAAUAUUUCUUUGGUUGAGUGUUGUGUGUGGGUGUGUGUGUAAUAUUCCUGUGCAACAUGUCAACUCGCAAUGCACCUUUUUAAUCAGCCUUUCUUUCCUACUCUACGACUACGUGGAGUACGGAAUGACCGUCGGGCCGAGAUCUGGCAGGUCACUUUGAACAUAUCAACACAGAAGAACCCAACAGUUUUAUCUAUUGACAAUUACAACGCAAUUAUUGUACAGACCAGACAACAUGUAUCCUUACCAAUGUUGAAACAAAAAGAAAAGAAAGAGAGAAGAAAAGAAAUAUGAACCUGGAAAUUCCAGUUUCAAAGUGUCUUUUCAGUUUAAGAUACUUCAACAACAAGCAACAAAAUUUAACUAAACCGCUUUGUGGAUAAUCAUGGUCUCCAUGGUAUGAAUGACUCUCCUUUCAAUUAUUCAACUAGCAAACAUCAUAUAUAAUCUAAUGGCACACAUUUAGGCCCUCUUCAUGAAUUUAAUUUGGAAAAGAUGAAAUGUAU